GGGUGUAUAGCUCAGUUGGUAGAGCAUUGGGCUUUUAACCUAAUGGUCGCAGGUUCUCCCU
rnacentral:tRNA from 1 species